AUGAAUGUUUUCUAGGGUUCCGCAGUCUGCUGGCUGGUCUGGACCGAGAGAAAACUCACAGCCUAGGCUGUGUCACGGAGGGAUAAAAGCCCGGGAGAU
rnacentral:sRNA from 1 species